UCUUUAUGUCUCUUGAUAUUAAUUGCAAAUAUGAGAAGAUUAAAGUGAAUCAACGUAUUUAAUGCUCACUGAGUUCCUGUGUUGCUCUGGAGUUUGACUGAAAAUCCCUUCUUCUGGUGUAUUUAUUGAUGCUAGGCUGUGACGUAUAGACAUUUGGGCAUUUUUAUGGACUGUGUCAAUUUGAUUAUUAUCUGAAUGAUCAGUAUAAUUUACAUUAUAUAUGAUUUAAUAUUAAAUUUAUUGAUUGUGCUGCAGUGUAGUUAUAUAUGCGUGGAAAUUUAAGUCACAUAUUUCUUCUAGUGAAUGAUUUAUGAAGUUGAUUUGAUGCGAUACCUAUUACAAUAUUGCAUUAUUCGUCGUACAUCGAUUGAAAUUAUUAAAAUUGCGGUUUGACAUUUAGUUAUAAUAAUUUAUUAUACUUUUUAUUUUUUUUAUUUUUUAUUCGACCGUUAAGUUCCAAGUCUCAAGACUUGGUACUUUUAAUUAUGUUUGGAAACCUCUUCAGACUUAAUUUAUUUAUACCUGCGUAAAUGGAAUUGAUAAUACAUUCUUAUUUUAGUUGUUAAGUAUAUUAUCAGAUUGUUAAACUGUUAAGAUGUAAAUUAUUUUUAUUAGCUUAAGUUUAUCAUAUAUGAGGCUCAAUUUGGGUUUAGAUACAUGAUAGAAAUUGUAACUGCUUAGUUAUGUUUCGGUUUUUAUGCUCUCCUACCAAAUGUGAGGCUAAUCAUUGCAGAAACGUAUGCUCUGUAUUAUAUAUUUUAUCUUGGAUCAGAUGCGUUACUUGUUAAUGGAAAAGUUUAUCAGCAGAUUCUACUAUAUUUUUCUUGUCUGCCUACAUUCUGGGCUGUUACGGUCAUCUCAUUGCGUCAAUGGUAGGAUGAUUAUUUAUAGUCUUACUUUCUCGAUUUCAUUCCUGAGAGAAUAUAUGUGUUUGUUUG